rnacentral:misc_RNA from 1 species
UACUGAAAUCUAGUCUUGGGUC